AACUUAGUGGCGAACGGGUGAGUAACGCGUGAGCAAUCUGCCUCGGAGUGGGGGACAACAGUUGGAAACGACUGCUAAUACCGCAUAAUGUGCCGGUGGGGCAUCCCGCUGGUACCAAAGCUUUAUGUGCUCUGAGAUGAGCUCGCGUCUGAUUAGAUAGUUGGUGGGGUAACGGCCUACCAAGUCGACGAUCAGUAGCCGGACUGAGAGGUUGAACGGCCACAUUGGGACUGAGAUACGGCCCAGACUCC
rnacentral:rRNA from 1 species